AUCAGUGAGACUCCAUCUUUAUUACCAUAUCCCUCCUUCCCUGCCGAAAGCACUUCACAUCCCGCAAGUCCAUUAGACAUGGCACCACUCUGCUGUGGGAGAUACAGACACAUCUAAAUACAGAGGUAACAAUACCUGCCUGGUCAGCACUUCAGCUCCAAAUCAAGCUUCACUAAUGAAUAUGAGAAGAAAGCAGAGAGACUAAGUUGCAGAGAGGAGGAGGGAUGAAGAAAGAAGAAUCUUGACAACUCCUAGAAUCAUGGCAUCUCAAAGUUGGAAGGAACAGUCUGUCCAACCACCAAAAUACUUCAAGAGGUUCCCCUAAUCCAGGAAGCCUGGUGGCUACAUUAAUGUCAUUUGGUGCUUGGGAUGUUUCCAUCGUGUCAGAUGCCCCAAUUACAUCACCAGUCGUUGUUUCCAAUAAGUCUGGGCUAUUCAGCAAAUCAAUAUUCAGAGGAAGGCUGCAAUGGAAAUAGAAAAUUCACUUAGACCAAGACAUUUAACAUGAAAAAAUUAAAACACUGCUCACCCUCUGUAACUGCAACUUCCACCACAUCUGUGAA